UACAGAGGUGGCAAGCGUUGUUCGGAAUUACUGGGCGUAAAGGGCGCGUAGGCGGUUCGUUAAGUCCUGUGUGAAAUCCCCCGGCUCAACCGUGGAACUGCGUCUGAUACUGGAGGGCUUGAAUCCGGGAGAGGGAUGUGGAAUUCCAGGUGUAGCGGUGAAAUGCGUAGAUAUCUGGAGGAACACCGGUGGCGAAGGCGGCAUCCUGGACCGGUAUUGACGCUGAGGCGCGAAAGCUAGGGGAGCAAACGGG
rnacentral:rRNA from 1 species